rnacentral:rRNA from 1 species
UACGUAGGGGGCAAGCGUUGUCCGGAUUUAUUGGGCGUAAAGAGCGUGUAGGCGGCCAUGUAGGUCCGUUGUGAAAACCCGAGGCUCAACCUCGGGACGUCGGCGGAAACCAUCUGGCUAGAGUCCGGAAGAGGAGAGUGGAAUUCCCGGUGUAGCGGUGAAAUGCGCAGAUAUCGGGAAGAACACCCGUGGCGAAGGCGGCUCUCUGGGACGGUACUGACGCUGAGACGCGAAAGCGUGGGGAGCGAACAGG